ACCCGAUGCAAACUACGAAUACCGAAGAAUGUUAUCACGGGAGACACACGGCGGGUGCUAACGUCCGUCGUGAAGAGGGAAACAACCCAGACCGCCAGCUAAGGUCCCAAAGUCAUGGUUAAGUGGGAAACGAUGUGGGAAGGCCCAGACAGCCAGGAUGUUGGCUUAGAAGCAGCCAUCAUUUAAAGAAAGCGUAAUAGCUCACUGGUCGAGUCGGCCUGCGCGGAAGAUGUAACGGGGCUAAACCAUGCACCGAAGCUGCGGCAGCGACACUAUGUGUUGUUGGGUAGGGGAGCGUUCUGUAAGCCGUUGAAGGUGGCCUGUGAGGGUUGCUGGAGGUAUCAGAAGUGCGAAUGCUGACAUAAGUAACGAUAAUGCGGGUGAAAAACCCGCACGCCGGAAGACCAAGGGUUCCUGUCCAACGUUAAUCGGGGCAGGGUGAGUCGACCCCUAAGGCGAGGCCGAAAGGCGUAGUCGAUGGGAAACAGGUUAAUAUUCCUGUACUCGGUGUUACUGCGAAGGGGGGACGGAGAAGGCUAUGUUGGCCGGGCGACGGUUGUCCCGGUUUAAGCAUGUAGGCGGAUGUUCCAGGUAAAUCCGGAACGUCACUAACGCUGAGGUGUGAUGACGAGGCACUACGGUGCUGAAGUGACAAAUGCCCUGCUUCCAGGAAAAGCCUCUAAGCAUCAGGUAACAUCAAAUCGUACCCCAAACCGACACAGGUGGUCAGGUAGAGAAUACCAAGGCGCUUGAGAGAACUCGGGUGAAGGAACUAGGCAAAAUGGUGCCGUAACUUCGGGAGAAG
rnacentral:rRNA from 1 species